UACGGAGGAUCCAAGCGUUAUCCGGAUUUAUUGGGUUUAAAGGGUGCGUAGGCGGCUUUUUAAGUCAGUAGUGAAAUCUCGAGGCUCAACCUCGAACGUGCUAUUGAAACUGAAGAGCUUGAGUACAGACGAGGCAGGCGGAAUGUGUUAUGUAGCGGUGAAAUGCAUAGAGAUAACACAGAACACCGAUAGCGAAGGCA
rnacentral:rRNA from 1 species